CUUGAGGCUAGAGUCACAUCCUGACACAUCUCUUGUCCUGGUGUGCUAGAGUCCUCAGAGAGAAUCUGCUGGUCUUGAUUCACUGGCGAGGGCAGUCAGUGCCCCCGGUAGUGCCCAGAUCAGAAACAUGC
ensembl:snoRNA small nucleolar RNA, H/ACA box 3B